CAGUCGCCACGGGAAAACGGAGGGGGCUAGCGUUGUUCGGAAUUACUGGGCGUAAAGCGCACGUAGGCGGCUUUGUAAGUCAGAGGUGAAAGCCCGGGGCUCAACCCCGGAAUUGCCUUUGAGACUGCAUCGCUUGAACACGGGAGAGGUGAGUGGAAUUCCGAGUGUAGAGGUGAAAUUCGUAGAUAUUCGGAAGAACACCAGUGGCGAAGGCGGCUCACUGGACCGUUGUUGACGCUGAGGUGCGAAAGCGUGGGGAGCAAACAGGAUUAGAUACCCCCGUAGUCCCUGUCUCUUAUAC
rnacentral:rRNA from 1 species